rnacentral:rRNA from 1 species
GAUCGAUGCUGUCGAGCUUGCUCACGGGCUUUCUAUCAUAUCCAUAACACCUGUGCACUUGUUGGAUGUCUAGAGACGUAAAGUCGACAGUCAUCCACUUACACUAAACAAUAAUGUAACAAAUGUAGUCUUAUUAUAACAAAAUAAAACUUUCAACAACGGAUCUCUUGGCUCUCGCAUCGAUGAAGAACGCAGCGAAAUGCGAUAAGUAAUGUGAAUUGCAGAAUUCAGUGAAUCAUCGAAUCUUUGAACGCACCUUGCGCUCCUUGGUAUUCCGAGGAGCAUGCCUGUUUGAGUGUCAUGAAAACCCUCAACCUUAGAUUGGUUAUUUGACCUUUCUUUGGCUUGGAUUUGGACGUUUGCCGAUGUCAAGUCGGCUCGUCUUAAAAGUAAUAGCUGGAUCUGUCUCGCGACAUGGUUUGACUUGGCGUAAUAAGUAUUUCGCUAAGGACAUCUUCGGAUGGCCCUGUUGCAGGACUAAAGACCGCUUUCUAAUCCAUUGAUCUUCGGAUUAAUAUUCAUAACAUCUGGCCUCAAAUCAGGUAGGACUACCCGCUGAACUUAAGCAUAUCA